CUCUCUCUCUCUCUCUCUCUCUCUCUCUCUCAUAUUCAUAGCUAUCAGGUGCUCCUUGCCGCUUACUCAAUAAUUCUGGGAACGUCUGAACACACAGGAGGGCAUUUUUAUGUACGAGUAUGUGUAUGGGAGGGGAGGACCUAAGAUGGGCAUUAUCGUUAAAAAUAGAAACAGCUUGCUAAUUUUCUUUAUGGGUUCAACUAACACUUUCGAAUCGGUGCUCGACCCAGGCCUGGAGCACCGCUUCACGAGGAAGUAAAUCUUCAUUACCGACGAGACGAGCGGCGAGGCGGCACCGCGGCUCCAGGCGGGGCGGCGGCUCCUCCGACACCCGCGUCAUGCCCUUCAGCUUCCAGCAGCAGACGAGCGGCUGAACAGACACUCCCCGGGAUGACUGAACGACAGCCAGGCUGGACUGAAUGAUCCAGCAGUUGCUGCAGUUACACUGGGACUUUCCAAAUACAGCAAAACAUACUCGCCACCUUCCUCUUGGCCACCCUGACUGUUGUACAAUUCCAUGUGUGGCCAGGUGUUGCAACCCUCCAAUAAGCACCUGUACCAA